AAAUUAAAACGUAUUUUGGUGAUCUUGCAAAAUGAUCGUAAUCCCGAAAAACGUAAACAUAUUUUCUUAUCUUAAAAGGGGGCAAGAAGGGUUCCAUUAACAGGCCAAUAAAUAAGAUUACAGUUGAUUUUAAAAACAUUGAAAAUAGGGGUAUUUUUUUCUCUCAUAAUAACAGUAAACAGAUUCACAACAAUGUCAAUUUCAAGAAAGCUGACAACAGUUAAUUAGUCAAUAACAGUACAGCAUCAAUGAUCUUGAAUAUAUGCCACUUUUAACUAAAAUAUAAAGGCACAGAACCAGGACAUAGGAGCACAGAACCAGGACCGUUUUUCUUAUCACCAGCACAGCGUCAGGAC
rnacentral:lncRNA from 1 species